CAAUAGCGUAUAUUAAAGUUGUUGCAGUUAAAAAGCUCGUAGUUGGAUUUCGGGACGGGCCAGUUGGUCCGCCGCAAGGUGUGUUACUGACUGGUCUGUUCUUCUUCGCAAAGACUGCGUGUGCUCUUCGUUGAGUGUGCGUAGGAUUUACGACGUUUACUUUGAAAAAAUUAGAGUGUUCAAAGCAGGCUAUCGCUUGAAUACAUGAGCAUGGAAUAAUGGAAUAGGACUCUGGUCCUAUUUUGUUGGUUUCUAGGACCGAAGUAAUGAUUAAGAGGGACAAUUGGGGGCAUCCGUAUUUCGUUGUCAGAGGUGAAAUUCUUGGAUUUACGAAAGACGAACAACUGCGAAAGCACUUGCCAAGAGUGUUUUCAUUAA
rnacentral:rRNA from 1 species